CAGGAGGUAGUUUAUUUUAAAACUUUGACUUUGGGAGUCAAAGAAAAAGACUUUUAAGAGCUUUUCUUCUGA
rnacentral:tRNA from 1 species